AUGAGCGCGAUUUUGGCAUGCCGAGAUGGGAGCAGUUCAAGGAGGCUUGCCAUGUUCAAUUUGGGCCGUCACUUCGCGCAAAUCCCUAGGGCAAGUUGGCGUCUGUCGUUCACUUCCUUGGUUGCAGACUACACCAUCAGGUUUCUAGCGCUCAUGUGCCACAAUAAUGAGCCAUUAACACCGUUCCAACGACGGUUUCUGUACAUAGCAGGGCUGCCUGAUGGUCUUCGCAUCGACGUCGAGCUUCAACGACCAUCUGACUUCUACACCGCCAUCUCCUUCGCCAAGGCCUAUGAGCAGCAGCAUUUCCCUCCAACAGCGUGA
rnacentral:rRNA from 1 species